rnacentral:lncRNA from 1 species
AUUUUGCUUUCUACCAUGAUGUCUUUUCUGGGGAAACUGAGGCCAGACACAAGAUAAAAUUGAAUGAGCUUCUGCAAUGCACCAGCAACGUAGAUGGCAAAGUGACGGUCUCUGCGCUCUAAAAGCUUUUAUUCUGAUGGGACAGGACAAAGCAUAAAGAGGGGAUCAGUAAAAGGCCUAGAGAUACGGGAAGAAAGUAGCAAGGGAUAUGUAAGGUAGAUAGGGCAGCAUCCAGCUGAAAGCAGGUAUCUGGUGCCUGGGGGAAAGGGGAAGUAGGGAUUCAGUUGGGAAAAGUACAAGGUCAUGGGGUGGUGGUGGUCCUAAUGGUGGACAAGAACAGGGAAGUAAAAGUUCUACUAAGGAAAUAGUGUUGAGCCUGGAGGAGGAGUGAGGAGUAGGCUUUCUAUACCAUGUGCUAAAUAAAGAAAUAAAGAAAAUCUGACUAGGGUCAUUGAACAGCCCUUUUGAUCUCACCUUCAUUGAAACUUAUGGUAACUUCAUGUGGACAGCUCUGAUUUUUGCCUUCUGGGAUGGCUUUAGGAUGGACUUCCAAAUCACAAGUGGGUAUUCUAGAUAAUCGGAGGCCUUUGAUUAGAAUCUCAGAAGCCUAUAGGUAAGGCAGCUAGCCUUGACCUUAAAACUGCCAAGGAUUCUUGCCUCUUCCAGGUAUGUUGCCGCCUAAACAAGAUGGUUCCACAACUUUGUUCUCCCCAAAAAGAAUCAAUAAGUGCCACACAUGAAGCCCUAUAGCAAUUUCCAGAGAGAUGUAGUGUUCUCCAAAGAUUGCCUACCAGCACCCCUCAAGGGGUAAUAUCACCUACUUUGGCAACCUCUAAACCAGAACACCAAAGAAUAGAUUAAGGAAUACAAGCAAGUCAGUGAAAUGAUCCUGUAAAGUCUGGAGCCGGAUUUCUGUCCAAGAAACUUUGGAUAAAAGACCUGAGCCUCCUGCACCUAAAUGGAGAUGGGGGAAGGAGACGAACCACAGCAGUCAGACAGGAUUUUGCCCUUCAGUGGAGAAGAGAUGCUUGGGGAGGCAUAUUGUCCAUAAUAUGGUGGUAUGCUGGAGUCCAUGAGAGGAGGCUCCUUAUGUGGGCUUCUAUCUUGGUCUGCUCAUUUGGGGUCACUGCAGCGUGUCACAGGAUACUUAGUGAGUCACUUGUUUUUGUGAAACUUUUUACUCUUUUCUUGGAAAUGUGGUUUGUUGCCUUUUGG